UCUCUCACUCUCUCUCAAGCCGCCCCCUCUCUCUCCAUUCAUUUCAGCGAAAAUCGCCAGCGGCGAGCCCUUUUCUCUCUCCCUUUUCCGGAGGCCCACCUCUCUCCUCGCCAUUCUCCAACGAAGCAGCAGCCCGGUGACACCCCUCUCUUCAUCACUCCCUCCAUCCUCUCUCUCUAUCUCCUAUCUAUUUCCCCCUCUUCUCCUCUCCUCCCUUCUGUCUCUCCGCCCCUCCUCUCGCCUUGCUCCGGAAAAGCGCCUCCUCCCUACGUACCUAUCUUCUCUUUUCCAGCGACAGCAAGAGCAGCAACGCUUCAACAACCAGCAGCUCCGGCCGGCUAGAAACAACAACAAAGCAGCAAGCUCUGGCGAGGCCUUUUGGAAAAUUUGAGUUUUUCAAAAGAUGGUUCCCGUUCGGUGUAUUGCUUUCUUCAACAGGACCUGAACUUGAAGUCCAAGUUGAAGAGUCGCCUCGAGAUAAUUUUAUUUAUGUAUUUUUAACUAUUAUUUGUUAUGUAUUUUGAUUUGUAAUGUUGUAUAAAAGAUCUAAUUCUAGUAUAUACAUGAAAAUAUUUGGGGGAUUGUCUAAGGGGGGAGGGAACUACGUGCUAAAUAUCUCUUUUACUUUUCUUUUUGUGCUAAUACGCGUGGGUUGGAUUUUAAA